rnacentral:misc_RNA from 1 species
UAUGAAGAACGUAGCGAAAUGCGAUAAGUAAUGUGAAUUGCAGAAUUCAGUGAAUCAUCGAAUCUUUGAACGCACAUUGCGCCCCCUGGUAUUCCGGGGGGCAUGCCUGUUCGAGCGUCAUUUCAACCCUCAAGCUCUGCUUGGUAUUGGGCGUCGCCGGGGAGUCUCCCCGGCGUGCCUCAAAGCCAUCGGCGGUGGUGCCUUUCUCUAAGCGUGGUAGAAUUUUUAUUCGCUUCUGAGUUGGGCUUCGCCUGCCGGACAAACCGGGCCCUCGCGGCCCACCUUCUCAGGUUGACCUCGGAUCAGGUAGGGAUACCCGCUGAACUUAAGCAUAUCAAUAAGCGGAGGA